rnacentral:rRNA from 2 species
UUGGGCCUAAAGCAUCCGUAGCUCGUUUUGUAAGUUUUCGGUUAAAUCCAUACGUUUAACGUAUGGGCUGCCGGGAAUACUGCAUAACUAGGAAGUGGGAGAGGUAGACGGUACUCGGUAGGAAGGGGUAAAAUCCUUUGAUCUAUUGAUGACCACCUGUGGCGAAGGCGGUCUACCAGAACACGUUCGACGGUGAGGGAUGAAAGCUGGGGGAGCAAACCGGAUUAGAUACCCGGGUAGUCCCAGCUGUAAACUAUGCAAACUCAGUGAUGCAUUGGCUUGUGGCCAAUGCAGUGCUGCAGGGAAGCCGUUAAGUUUGCCGCCUGGGAAGUACGUACGCAAGUAUGAAACUUAAAGGAAUUGGCGGGGGAGCACC